GAGGAAGAGGAGAGGCAUCUACAUUAGGUUAGUGAGAAGGAGAGGAGAGGAAUCUACAUUAGGUUAGUGAGGAAGAGGAGAGGCAUCUACAUUAGGUUAGUGAGAAAGAGAGGUUAGUGAGAAGAAGAGAAAUCUACAUUAGGUUAGUGAGGAAGAGGAGAGGCAUCUACAUUAGGUUAGUGAGAAGGAGAGGAGAGGAAUCUACAUUAGGUUAGUGAGGAAGAGGAGAGGCAUCUACAUUAGGUUAGUGAGAAAGAGAGGUUAGUGAGAAGAAGAGAAAUCUACAUUAGGUUAGUGAGGAAGAGGAGAGGCAUCUACAUUAGGUUAGUGAGAAAGAGAGG